rnacentral:rRNA from 1 species
GCCAGCAGCAUACCACCCUGCUUCCCACUGCUGUCUUGCCUCUGAAGCUAAGCAGGGUUCGUCCUGGUUGGUCCCUUGAUUGGGGAGACCAGAUGCUGCUGGAA